rnacentral:rRNA from 1 species
UGGGGAAUUUUGGACAAUGGGCGCAAGCCUGAUCCAGCCAUGCCGCGUGCGGGAAGAAGGCCUUCGGGUUGUAAACCGCUUUUGUCAGGGAAGAAAUCUUCUGAGUUAAUACCUCGGGAGGAUGACGGUACCUGAAGAAUAAGCACCGGCUAACUACGUGCCAGCAGCCGCGGUAAUACGUAGGGUGCAAGCGUUAAUCGGAAUUACUGGGCGUAAAGCGUGCGCAGGCGGUUUUGUAAGACAGAGGUGAAAUCCCCGGGCUCAACCUGGGAACUGCCUUUGUGACUGCAAGGCUUGAGUGCGGCAGAGGGGGAUGGAAUUCCGCGUGUAGCAGUGAAAUGCGUAGAUAUGCGGAGGAACACCGAUGGCGAAGGCAAUCCCCUGGGCCCGCACUGACGCUCAUGCACGAAAGCGUGGGGAGCAAACAGGAUUAGAUACCCUGGUAGUCCACGCCCUAAACGAUGUCAACUGGUUGUUGGGAAGGUUCCUUCUCAGUAACGUAGCUAACGCGUGAAGUUGAGCCGCCUGGGGAGUACGGCCGCAAGGUUG